UGCAUGAUGACCGGUGUUCGACAACUGUGUGCCUGCUAGGUCAGCCGCUGGAGGACCACACAGUUGCCGUUCUGAGAUCAUACGGUUGAACUUGAUCUGGAUAAUUCCAGCGAAAGAACUCAUGCGCGCAUAAUCA
rnacentral:ncRNA from 11 species